AUUGAACGCUGGCGGCAUGCUUUACACAUGCAAGUCGAACGGGCUGGGGGCGAACUCCCAGUCAGUGGCGAACGGGUGAGUAAUGCAUCGGAACGUGCCUCGUAGUGGGGAGUAACUCGGCGAAAGCCGUGCUAAUACCGCAUAUGCUCUACGGAGGAAAGUAGGGGGACCGCGAAGGCCUCACGCUAUGAGAGCGGCCGAUGUCCGAUUAGCUUGUUGGUGGGGUAAUGGCCUACCAAGGCGACGAUCGGUAGCUGGUCUGAGAGGAUGAUCAGCCACACUGGGACUGAGACACGGCCCAGACU
rnacentral:rRNA from 1 species